rnacentral:SRP_RNA from 1 species
UAAGUGGCGUUGACGUUUGGGUCUUACGCAACAGGAAUUUACGAACCGGGUCAGGUCAGGAAUGGAGCAGCCCUAAGUAAAAGCUCUUGUGUGCCGUGAGGGUGCCUGGACCGAGUUAACUGUGGAGGUAACGUCCGUGGACUGGACUCGAAGGGCGAUGCUCGG